rnacentral:rRNA from 1 species
CCUACGGGAGGCAGCAGUGAGGAAUAUUGGUCAAUGGACGAGAGUCUGAACCAGCCAAGUAGCGUGAAGGAUGACUGCCCUAUGGGUUGUAAACUUCUUUUAUAUGGGAAUAAAAUGUUCCACGUGUGGGAUUUUGUAUGUACCAUAUGAAUAAGGAUCGGCUAACUCCGUGCCAGCAGCCGCGGUAAUACGGAGGAUCCGAGCGUUAUCCGGAUUUAUUGGGUUUAAAGGGAGCGUAGGUGGAUUUUUAAGUCAGUUGUGAAAGGUUGCGGCUCAACCGUAAAAUUGCAGUUGAAACUGGCAGUCUUGAGUACAGUAGAGGUGGGCGGAAUUCGUGGUGUAGCGGUGAAAUGCGUAGAUAUCACGAAGAACUCCGAUUGCGAAGGCAGCUCACUGGACUGCAACUGACACUGAGGCUCGAAAGUGUGGGUAUCAAACAGGAUUAGAUACCCGUGUAGUC